AGUCGCCGCGGUAAUACGAAGGGUGCAAGCGUUAAUCGGAAUUACUGGGCGUAAAGCGUGCGUAGGCGGUUUGUUAAGUCUGUUGUGAAAUCCCCGGGCUCAACCUGGGAAUGGCAAUGGAUACUGGCAAGCUAGAGUGUGUCAGAGGAUGGUGGAAUUCCCGGUGUAGCGGUGAAAUGCGUAGAGAUCGGGAGGAACAUCAGUGGCGAAGGCGGCCCUCUGGGACAACACUGACGCUGAGGCACGAAAGCGUGGGGAGCAAACAGGAUUAGAUACCCGUGUAGUCCCUGUCUCUUAUACA
rnacentral:rRNA from 1 species